rnacentral:rRNA from 1 species
GACGAACGCUGGCGGCGUGCUUAACACAUGCAAGUCGAGCGAUGAAACUCCUUCGGGAGUGGAUUAGCGGCGGACGGGUGAGUAACACGUGGGUAACCUGCCUCAUAGAGGGGAAUAGCCUUCCGAAAGGAAGAUUAAUACCGCAUAAGAUUGUAGUACCGCAUGGUAUAGCAAUUAAAGGAGCAAUCCGCUAUGAGAUGGACCCGCGUCGCAUUAGCUAGUUGGUGAGGUAACGGCUCACCAAGGCGACGAUGCGUAGCCGACCUGAGAGGGUGAUCGGCCACAUUGGGACUGAGACACGGCCCAGACUCCUACGGGAGGCAGCAGUGGGGAAUAUUGCACAGUGGGGGAAACCCUGAUGCAGCAACGCCGCGUGAGUGAUGACGGUCUUCGGAUUGUAAAGCUCUGUCUUCAGGGACGAUAAUGACGGUACCUGAGGAGGAAGCCACGGCUAACUACGUGCCAGCAGCCGCAGUAAAAC